CGCUGGCGGCACGCCUAAUACAUGCAAGUCGAACGAAGUAGCAAUACUUAGUGGCAGACGGGUGAGUAACAUGUGGGUAUCUUCCCUUUGGUGAGGAAUAACACGAGGAAACUUGUGCUAAUACCUCAUAAGUCUUUACGGAGAAAGCUUUAUGCGCCAAUGGAUGAGCCUGCACUUGAUUAGUUUGUUGGUGGGGUAAUGGCCUACCAAGACUGUGAUCAAUAGCUGAUUUGAGAGGAUGAUCAGCCACAUUGGGACUGAGACACGGCCCAAACUCCUACGGGAGGCAGCAGUAGGGAAUCUUGCACAAUGGAGGAAACUCUGAUGCAGCGAUGCCGCGUGAGUGAAGAAGGCCUUUGGGUUGUAAAGCUCUUUCGUCGGGGAAGAAAAUGACUGUACCCGAAUAAGAAGGUCCGGCUAACUUCGUGCCAGCAGCCGCGGUAAUACGAAGGGACCUAGCGUAGUUCGGAAUUACUGGGCUUAAAGAGUUCGUAGGUGGUUAAAAAAGUUGGUGGUGAAAGCCCAGAGCUUAACUCUGGAACGGCCAUCAAAACUUUUUAGCUAGAGUUUGAUAGAGGAAAGCAGAAUUUCUAGUGUAGAGGUGAAAUUCGUAGAUAUUAGAAAGAAUACCAAUUGCGAAGGCAGCUUUCUGGAUCAUUACUGACACUGAGGAACGAAAGCAUGGGUAGCGAAGAGGAUUAGAUACCCUCGUAGUCCAUGCCGUAAACGAUGUGUGUUAGAUGUUGGAAAUUUAUUUUCAGUAUCGCAGCGAAAGCAAUAAACACACCGCCUGGGGAGUACGACC
rnacentral:rRNA from 1 species